UUAUUUAAUGGCCGCGGUAUUUUGACCGUGCAAAGGUAGCAUAAUCAUUAGCUUAUUGAUUGUAAGAUUGUAUGAAUGGUUGGACGAAAUAUUAGCUGUCUUGUUUUUAUUAUUUAGAAUUUAAUUUUUGAGUUAAAAAGCUUAAAUUUUUUUAAAGGACGAGAAGACCCUAUAGAUCUUUAUUUUCACUAUUAUUUUAUUUUUGUGUUUAUUUAUUUUUUGAAUUUUUGGUUGGGGCGAUUUGGGGAUAUUAUUAACUCCUUAUAUUUUUUUUUCAUUUAUUUAUGUUUAGUUGAUCUUUUAUUAUUGUUUACAAGAUUAAGAUACCUUAGGGAUAACAGCGUAAUUCCUUUUGAGAGCUCAUAUUGACGAUGGAGAUUGCGACCUCGAUGUUGAAUUAAGAUUAAUAUUAGGUGUAGAAGUUUAUUUAUUGGGUCUGUUCGACCCUUAAAAUCUUACAUGAUCUGAGUUCAAACCGG
rnacentral:rRNA from 1 species